UGGUUCUCCCCGAAAUAGCUUUAGGGCUAGCGUCGGAAUGAACCCAUGUGAAGGUAGAGCACUGAAUGUGUGAUGGCCCCAUCCCGGGGUACUGAAUACAAUCAAACUCCGAAUGUCAUGUGGGAUGUCCGGCAGUCAGACUGUGAGUGAUAAGGUCCAUGGUCGAGAGGGAAACAGCCCAGACCGCCAGUUAAGGUCCCAAAAUGCAGGCUAAGUGGAAAAGGAUGUGGGGAUGCCCAGACAACUAGGAGGUUGGCUCAGAAGCAGCCACCCUUUAAAGAGUGCGUAACAGCUCACUAGUCGAGUGACCCUGCGCCGAAAAUGUACCGGGGCUAAGCCUGAUACCGAAACUGCGGAAUCGAAUGAUUGGUAGGGGAGCGUUGUAUACGGGUGGAAGCCGUACCGUGAGGAGCGGUGGACUGUAUAGAAGUGAGAAUGCCGGUGUGAGUAGCGAGAUGUAGGUGAGAAUCCUACACACCGAAAGCCCAAGGAUUCCAGGGGAAGGUUCGUCCGCCCUGGGUAAGUCGGGACCUAACGCGAGGCCGAAAGGCGUAGUGGAUGGAAAGCAGGCGGAGAUUCCUGCACCCGUAUGUGGAGCGAUGGAGUGACGGAGACGGCUAAUGUGACCCUCUUAACGGAUUGAGGGCGAAGCGGGGUAGCGGUCGACCAGGCAAAUCCGGUCGGCAAAACGCGAAGACGUGACAGGGAAGCGAACGCUUUGGCAAGUAGCGAAGCACAUGAGGCCGGCUUCCAAGAAAAGCUUCUGGCAAUGCACAUGCGGCCCGUACCAAAACCGACACAGGUGGGCAGGUAGAGGAUACCAAGGUGAGCGAGAGAACUGUUGCCAAGGAACUCGGCAAAAUGGCUCCGUACGUUCGCAAGAAGGAGCGCUUAUGAAAAUAAGCCGCAGUGAAUAGGCCCAAGCGACUGUUUAACUAAAACACAGCUCUCUGCGAAGUCGCAAGACGAAGUAUAGGGGGUGACACCUGCCCGGUGCCGGAAGGUUAAGAGGAUCUGUCAAUCGCAAGAUGAAGCAGUGAGUUGAAGCCCCGGUGAACGGCGGCCGUAACUAUAACGGUCCUAAGGUAGCGAAAUUCCUUGUCAGGUAAGUUCUGACCCGCACGAAAGGUGUAACGAUUUGGGCGCUGUCUCGGCAGCAGGCUCGGUGAAAUCUUAGUACCUGUGAAAAUGCAGGUUACCCGCAACUAGACGGAAAGACCCCAUGGAGCUUUACUGUAGCCUGGUAUUGGAUUUUGGUCAGACAUGUACAGGAUAGGUGGGAGACUGUGAGACGUGCACGCCAGUGUACGAGGAGUCGCCGUUGGGAUACCACUCUUGUGUGAUCGGAGUUCUAACCUGGUGGCCUGAACCGGCCAUAGGGAGAGUGCCAGGUGGGCAGUUUGACUGGGGCGGUCGCCUCCCAAAGAGUAACGGAGGCGCCCAAAGGUACGCUCAGAUUGGAUGGAAACCAAUCGCCGAGUGCAAAUGCAGAAGCGUGCUUGACUGUGAGAGCAACAACUCGAACAGGGACGAAAGUCGGGAUUAGUGAUCCGGCGGUGCCGAAUGGAAGGGCCGUCGCUCAACGGAUAAAAGCUACCCUGGGGAUAACAGGCUGAUCUCGCCCAAGAGUUCACAUCGACGGCGAGGUUUGGCACCUCGAUGUCGGCUCAUCGCAUCCUGGAGCUGGAUUCGGUUCCAAGGGUUGGGCUGUCCGCCCAUUAAAGCGGUACGCGAGCUGGGUUCAGAACGUCGUGAGACAGUUCGGUCCCUAUCUGUUGUGGGCGAAGGAGAUUUGAGGAGAGCUGCCCUUAGUACGAGAGGACCGGGGUGGACCUACCGCUGGUGCACCAGUUGUAUCGCCAGAUGCAUAGCUGGGUAGCUAAGUAGGGAAGGGAUAAGCGCUGAAAGCAUCUAAGCACGAAGCCUACUCCAAGAUGAGAUCUCCCAUUCGCAAGAAGUAAGACCCCUUGA
rnacentral:rRNA from 1 species